rnacentral:rRNA from 1 species
GGUCCAUUCAAAUUUCUUCCCUAUCAACUUUCGAUGGUAAGGUAUUGGCUUACCAUGGUUUCAACGGGUAACGGGGAAUUAGGGUUCGAUUCCUGAGAGGGAGCCUGAGAAACGGUUACCAAUCCAAGGAAGGCAGCAGGCGCGCAAAUUACCCAAUCCCGACGGGGAGGUAGUGACAAUAAAUACUGAUACAGGGCUCUUUUGGGUCUUGUAAUCGGAAUGAGUACAAUUUAAACCCUUUACGAGGAAAAUUGGAGGGCAAGUCUGGUGCAGAGACGGGGUAAUUCCAGCUCCAAUAGCGUAUAUUAAAGUUGUGCAGUUACAAAGCUCGUAGUUG